UACGAAGGGGGGCUAGCGUUGCUCGGAAUCACUGGGCGUAAAGGGUGCGUAGGCGGCUCAUGAAGGCUGUGGUGAAAGUCCGGGGCUCAACCUCGGAUCGGCCGUGGCGACUCGUGGGCUGGAGCACUGUAGAGGCGGGUGGAAUUCCGGGUGUAGCGGUGGAAUGCGUAGAGAUCCGGAAGAACACCAGUGGCGAAGGCGGCCCGCUGGGCAGUGGCUGACGCUGAGGCGCGACAGCGUGGGGGAGCAAACAGG
rnacentral:rRNA from 1 species